UACGGAGGCAGCGAGCGUUGUUCGGAAUUACUGGGCGUAAAGAGUGUGUAGGCGGUGCUCUAAGUUUGGUGUGAAAUCUCCUGGCUCAACUGGGAGGGUGCGCCGGAAACUGGAGUGCUUGAGCGUGGGAGAGGAAAGCGGAAUUCCUGGUGUAGCGGUGAAAUGCGUAGAUAUCGGGAGGAACACCUGUGGCGAAAGCGGCGCACUGGACCAUAACUGACGCUGAGGCGCGAAAGCUAGGGGAGCAAACAGG
rnacentral:rRNA from 1 species